rnacentral:rRNA from 1 species
UACGUAGGGGGCAAGCGUUGUCCGGAAUUAUUGGGCGUAAAGCGCGCGCAGGCGGUGAUCUAAGUCUGAUGUGAAAGCCCACGGCUCAACCGUGGAGGGUCAUUGGAAGCUGGGUCACUUGAGUGCAGGAGAGGGGAGUGGGAUUCCACGUGUAGCGGUGAAAUGCGUGGAUAUGUGGAGGAACACCAGUGGCGAAGGCGACUCUCUGGCCUGUAACUGACGCUGAGGCGCGAAAGCGUGGGGAGCAAACAGG